rnacentral:rRNA from 1 species
UACGAAUGGGGCAAGCGUUGUUCGGAAUCACUGGGCGUAAAGCGUAUGUAGGCGGCUUUUCAAGUCAGAAGUGAAAGCCUGGGGCUCAACCCCAGAAUUGCUUUUGAAACUGAAUCGCUAGAGUCCCGGAGAGGUUGGCGGAAUUCCGAGUGUAGAGGUGAAAUUCGCAGAUAUUCGGAGGAACACCAGUGGCGUAGGCGGCCAACUGGACGGGAACUGACGCUGAGAUACGAAAGCAUGGGGAGCAAACAGG